rnacentral:lncRNA from 1 species
GGGAUUUCUUGGGUGACCCAUUUUUGAUGAAGCACACCACAAAAUUAAACAUUUUCUUUAAGAUGGAAACUAAAUAGUUUCCCUAAGGCGAUCACACCUCUGCCUGAGCUUCGGGAGGCUGAAAGAAUGCUGACACCCACAACCCUGCCAGGAACAGUACCUAGCCACCAGCUGCUUUAUUAACAUCAUCGUGUGUUAUAAUGGAAGGACCACACAGCCCUUUCAUUGUAAGCUGUAUUUUGGGGUUACUCCCUGUGGUGGUUUGAGCAGGAAUUCCUCAAUAGUCUCAAGUGUUUGAAUGAGUGGCACUAUUAGGAGGUAUGGGCUUGUUGGAGGAAGUGUGUCACUGUGGGGGCAGGCCUCUAGGUCUCAUGUUCUCUACCCAUGCCCAGUGUGGCACACAGUUGCUUCUGUGGAUCAAAUGUAGGUCUCUCAGCUCCUUCUCCGCACCAUGUCUGCCUGUGUGCUACCAUGUUUCCCACCAUGAUGAUAACAGACAAAACUCUCUGACCUGCAAGUCAGCCCCAAUUAAAUAUUUUCCUUUCUAAGAGUUGCCAUGGUGUCGGUUCACAACAAUAGGAAUCCUAACUAAGACACUCCCUUGCACACAGUCUAAGAUGCUAACAUACUGGAAGUAGGUCUGUGAGCUGCUCUGUGUUUGCAGUCAUGCACCACCACUUAAUCUCUUCUUAAAGCAGAUCAGAAUCCAAGCACAGCUCUAGACCGUACAGCCAUUGCUAAGGAAGCUGUCAGGCAGGAAAACAAGUCAGAGCACAGCCGAGGUUACAGUGAGUUACAGAAUUCAGGAAAUGCCACAGAAACGAUCUCAUUUCUUUCCCAAAUCAAUGGUAUACAAAGAGAGGGGGUGCUGAAGACGGAAGAGGGCAUAAAGGCACCACAACACAACGAAUUUUCAACGCAUUUUCAUCGUAAUCUGAACAAAAUAAGUGAGACCAUCCUGGGAAGCAAACACGCGCUUAGGAUAAGCGAGGAAUUGUAAUUCUCUUGGCUGUUGUCAUUUGCACUGUGAUUAUAUUUUUCAAAAGGAAUAGCUGAGAGAAGAGCGACAGGGAGAACAGGGAAGGAUCAGAAGGAGAGGGAGGCAGGGUAAGAGAGACAAAAGGGAGGAAGAAAGGAAGGGGGAGGAAAGGGGGAGGGAAGAAGAGAAAAGAAAGGCGUGGGAGGGAAAAAGAGGGAGGGAGAGAAGACGAAAGCGGGACUGGAGAGAGGCAGGCUAUCUUUGAUCAUGAGAUAAGUAAUAGAGAGCUGACUGAGUAAAGCUGGAGACAGAUGGAGGCCAACAGCACCAUGGCGACUGCUAAAGUGGGUGAUGGCCUGUGACUUCAGUAUUCUCUCCACCGCUGUGCAUUUCUGAACAAGGGACUCAUGUUGCCCAGACUAGCUUUGAACUUCCCAUAUAUCUGAGGACCGCCUUGAAUUCCUGAUGGCCACGCCUCCACCUAAGUGAUAAAAUGACAAGUGGGUAACUGGUUUAUUCAGCACUAUGAAGGAACCCAGGGCUUUGUAUGCUAGGCAAGUACUCUAUAACAAACUAUAUCCCCAGCAUAAUUUCCUCCUAAUUUACCAAAAUUUCACUACUGGUUCCAUG